rnacentral:rRNA from 1 species
UACGUAGGGGGCAAGCGUUGUCCGGAUUUAUUGGGCGUAAAGAGCGUGUAGGCGGCCAGAUAGGUCAGCUGUGAAAACUCGAGGCUCAACCUCGAGACGUCGGUUGAAACCAUCUGGCUAGAGUCCGGAAGAGGAGAGUGGAAUUCCCGGUGUAGCGGUGAAAUGCGCAGAUAUCGGGAAGAACACCCGUGGCGGAGGCGGCUCUCUGGGACGGUACUGACGCUGAGACGCGAAAGCGUGGGGAGCGAACAGG